CAGCAGGCAGACCAAUUUUCUGCCACCGAAUACAUUAGCAUGGCGAUAAUGGAAUAGGACCCUGUCCUCCUAUUUUCAGUUGGUUUUGGCAGCGCGAGGACUAGGGUAAUGAUUAAUAGGGAUAGUUGGGGGCAUUAAUAUUUAAUUGUCAGAGGUGAAAUUCUUGGAUUUAUGAAAGAUUAACUUCUGCGAAAGCAUCUGCCAAGGAUGUUUUCAUUAAUCAAGAACGAAAGUUAGGGGAUCGAAGACGAUCAGAUACCGUCGUAGUCUUAACCAUAAACGAUGCCGACCAGCGAUUAGGAGACGUUGAAUACAAAACACCACCAUCGGUGCGGUCGUCCUUGGCGUCGGUCUUUCGGGGCCGGCGCGGGGACGGCUUAGCCCGGUGGCACCGGUGAAUGACU
rnacentral:rRNA from 1 species